ACGGAUCUGGCUUUCCUGUGUUUAGUUUUUUUGGAAUAAAACCGUAGCGUGCUACAGUAUUAUCUCCAUCCUGAACAGUCAAAGACUGAAUUGAAGACAUCCUGAACGGAUUACUCUCCAUUCAGAAUGCAUGGGGAUAAAACUGAUCAGUUCUUUUUCGGUAUAGAGCCCCUAGGA